rnacentral:rRNA from 1 species
AUUGAACGCUGGCGGCAGGCCUAACACAUGCAAGUCGAGCGGUAGCACAGAGAGCUUGCUCUCGGGUGACGAGCGGCGGACGGGUGAGUAAUGUCUGGGAAACUGCCUGAUGGAGGGGGAUAACUACUGGAAACGGUAGCUAAUACCGCAUAACGUCGCAAGACCAAAGUGGGGGACCUUCGGGCCUCAUGCCAUCAGAUGUGCCCAGAUGGGAUUAGCUAGUAGGUGGGGUAAUGGCUCACCUAGGCGACGAUCCCUAGCUGGUCUGAGAGGAUGACCAGCCACACUGGAACUGAGACACGGUCCAGACUCCUACGGGAGGCAGCAGUGGGGAAUAUUGCACAAUGGGCGCAAGCCUGAUGCAGCCAUGCCGCGUGUGUGAAGAAGGCCUUCGGGUUGUAAAGCACUUUCAGCGGGGAGGAAGGCGAUAAGGUUAAUAACCUUGUCGAUUGACGUUACCCGCAGAAGAAGCACCGGCUAACUCCGUGCCAGCAGCCGCGGUAAUACGGAGGGUGCAAGCGUUAAUCGGAAUUACUGGGCGUAAAGCGCACGCAGGCGGUCUGUCAAGUCGGAUGUGAAAUCCCCGGGCUCAACCUGGGAACUGCAUUCGAAACUGGCAGGCUAGAGUCUUGUAGAGGGGGGUAGAAUUCCAGGUGUAGCGGUGAAAUGCGUAGAGAUCUGGAGGAAUACCGGUGGCGAAGGCGGCCCCCUGGACAAAGACUGACGCUCAGGUGCGAAAGCGUGGGGAGCAAACAGGAUUAGAUACCCUGGUAGUCCACGCCGUAAACGAUGUCGAUUUGGAGGUUGUGCCCUUGAGGCGUGGCUUCCGGAGCUAACGCGUUAAAUCGACCGCCUGGGGAGUACGGCCGCAAGGUUAAAACUCAAAUGAAUUGACGGGGGCCCGCACAAGCGGUGGAGCAUGUGGUUUAAUUCGAUGCAACGCGAAGAACCUUACCUGGUCUUGACAUCCGCAGAACUUUCCAGAGAUGGAUUGGUGCCUUCGGGAACUGUGAGACAGGUGCUGCAUGGCUGUCGUCAGCUCGUGUUGUGAAAUGUUGGGUUAAGUCCCGCAACGAGCGCAACCCUUAUCCUUUGUUGCCAGCGGUUAGGCCGGGAACUCAAAGGAGACUGCCAGUGAUAAACUGGAGGAAGGUGGGGAUGACGUCAAGUCAUCAUGGCCCUUACGACCAGGGCUACACACGUGCUACAAUGGCAUAUACAAAGAGAAGCGACCUCGCGAGAGCAAGCGGACCUCAUAAAGUAUGUCGUAGUCCGGAUUGGAGUCUGCAACUCGACUCCAUGAAGUCGGAAUCGCUAGUAAUCGUAGAUCAGAAUGCUACGGUGAAUACGUUCCCGGGCCUUGUACACACCGCCCGUCACACCAUGGGAGUGGGUUGCGAAAGAAGUAGGUAGCUUAACCUUCGGGAGGGCGCUUACCACUUUGUGAUUCAUGACUGGGGUGA